rnacentral:rRNA from 1 species
AUUGAACGCUGGCGGCAUGCUUUACACAUGCAAGUCGAACGGCAGCGCGGGCUUCGGCCUGGCGGCGAGUGGCGAACGGGUGAGUAAUGCAUCGGAACGUGCCCAGUAGUGGGGGAUAGCCCGGCGAAAGCCGGAUUAAUACCGCAUACCACCUGAGUGUGAUCGCGGGGGACCGAAAGGCCUCGCGCUAUUGGAGCGGCCGAUGUCGGGUUAGCUAGUUGGUGGGGUAAAGGCUUACCAAGGCGACGAUCCGUAGCUGGUCGAAGUGGCCGACCAGCCACACUGGGACGGGGACACGGCCCAGACUCCUACGGGAGGCAGCAGUGGGGAAUUUUGGACAAUGGGGGCAGCCCUGAUCCAGCCAUGCCGCGUGCGGGAAGAAGGCCUUCGGGUUGUAAACCGCUUUUGUUCGGGAAGAAAUCCUCUGGGCUAAUACCCCGGGGGGAUGACGGUACCGGAAGAAUAAGCACCGGCUAACUACGUG